rnacentral:rRNA from 1 species
UACGUAGGGGGCAAGCGUUGUCCGGAAUUACUGGGUGUAAAGGGCGUGUAGGCGGGACUGCAAGUCAGAUGUGAAAGUCCCAGGCUCAACUUGGGGGCUGCGUCUGAAACUGUGGUUCUUGAGUGCUGGAGAGGAAAGCGGAAUUCCUAGUGUAGCGGUGAAAUGCGUAGAUAUUAGGAGGAACACAAGUGGCGAAGGCGGCUUUCUGGACAGUAACUGACGCUGAGGCGCGAAAGCGUGGGGAGCAAACAGG